GAUGAACGCUGGCGGCGUGCCUAAUACAUGCAAGUCGAGCGAACGGACGAGAAGCUUGCUUCUCUGAUGUUAGCGGCGGACGGGUGAGUAACACGUGGAUAACCUACCUAUAAGACUGGGAUAACUUCGGGAAACCGGAGCUAAUACCGGAUAAUAUUUUGAACCGCAGGGUUAAAAAGUGAAAGACGGUCUUGCUGUUACUUAUAGAUGGAUCAGCGCUGCAUUGGCUAGUUGGUAAGGUAACGGCUUACCAAGGCAACGAUGCAUAGCCGACCUGAGAGGGUGAACGGCCACACUGGAACUGAGACACGGUCCAGACUCCUACGGGAGGCAGCAGUAGGGAAUCUUCCGCAAUGGGCGAAAGCCUGACGGAGCAACGCCGCGUGAGUGAUGAAGGUCUUCGGAUCGUAAAACUCUGUUAUUAGGGAAGAACAUAUGUGUAAGUAACUGGGCACAUCUUGACGGUACCUAAUCAGAAAGCCACGGCUAACUACGUG
rnacentral:rRNA from 1 species